GACGAACGCUGGCGGCGUGCUUAACACAUGCAAGUCGAACGAAGUGGCGAACGGGUGAGUAACGCGUAAUCAACCUGCCCUUCAGAGGGGGACAACAGUUGGAAACGACUGCUCAUACCGCAUACUGAAGGCGGGGAUUGCGUCUGAUUAGCUAGUUGGAGGGGUACCGACCCACAAGGGCGAUGAUCAGUAGUCGUUCUGAGGGGAUGAACGGCAACAUUGGGACUGAGAAACGGCCCAGACGCCUACGGGAGGCAGCAGUGGGGAAUCUUCCGCAAUGGACGAAAGUCUGACGGAGCAACGCCGCGUGAGUGAUGACGGCCUUCGGGUGGUAAAGCUCUGUGAAUCGGGACGCGGUACCGGAAUAGAAAGCCACGGCUAACUACGUGCCAGCAGCCGCGGUAAUUC
rnacentral:rRNA from 1 species